GACGAACGCUGGCGGCGUGCCUAAUACAUGCAAGUAGAACGCAGUUGCGACCGAGUGAGUAACGCGUAGGUAACUGCCUGGUAGCGGGGGAGAAACAUUGGAAACGGUAACCAAUACCGCCUAAUACCAGAUGGACCUGCGUUGUAUGAGCUAGUGGGGGGGGUAACGGCUCACCAAGGCAACGAUACAUAGCCGACCUGAGAGGGUGAUCGGCCACACUGGGGCUGGGACACGGCCCAGACUCCUUCGGGAGGCAGCAGUAGGGAAGCGUCGGCAAUGGACGGAAGUCUGACCGAGCAACGCCGCGUGAGUGAAGAAGGUUUUCGGAUCGUAAAGCUCUGUUGUAAGAGAAGCGGUAUCUUACCAGAAAGGGACGGCUAACUACGUGCCAGCCGCCGCGGUAAUUC
rnacentral:rRNA from 1 species